rnacentral:rRNA from 1 species
UACAGAGGGGGCAAGCGUUGUUCGGAAUUACUGGGCGUAAAGGGCGCGUAGGCGGCCUGUUAAGUCGAACGUGAAAUCCCUGGGCUCAACCCAGGAACUGCGUCCGAUACUGGCAGGCUUGAAUCCGGGAGAGGGAUGUGGAAUUCCAGGUGUAGCGGUGAAAUGCGUGGAUAUCGAGAAGAACACUUAGGGCGUAGGCAAGACUCUGGACAAAUGCUGACGCUCAUGCACGAAGGCUAGGGUAGCGAACGGG